rnacentral:lncRNA from 1 species
GCUUCUAAAACAUGGCGCUGACCCACUGCUGAAAAAUGCUCUGGGAAUGGCACCCGUAGACGUGGUGACAAAUACAUCUGUUGCAAAACUGCUGGAAAACGUUUUGCCCCAAAGCGAAAAGGGACAACUGUUAGGGCGUCCAGAUAUGAAAGUCUGUCCACAAAGAGAUGUGGAGUCCCUUGACUGCUGCCCUGCUGAGAGCUUGUGUGUGGGGAGCGAUGACACCGCUACAUUCCAAGGCAGCACUGAGGACUCUUGCAAUGAUUGCCAAGCUGACCAGACGGUGCGCUCAGUUUGUGGCAUACCCACUGGAAAAAAACCCACUGACAACGGGAAGCAGAACAGCCCUUUGAACUUCCCUCAGAGCGAUACCAUCCGUUCAGAUAAGAGGGAGUCAGGAAACGUUAUCGUGAGCUCUGGUGACUCGCUAACUGGCGACUCGCUAACUGGCCAAAAAACAGAUUUACUGUUAACAGAUGAACAGGGAGGGAGAAAUGCUGAAUGCAUGGACUUGGAGGUGAAGCCUCAUAGUCCUCCACACAAGAGCCUGGCUGAGGCUGAGGCAGGGGCAGGGGCAGGCCUAGGCACUGAUAAUGAGUUCACUAAUAUAAGUGUGACGUUCCCUUCUAGCCCCAUCAGAAAGGGACAAAAAGAGGAUGGCAAGGAGGUGACCUCCGAGAUUUCCACUGAAAAUGAGGAAGUCAGCAACUUCACUGCCACAGACUGCACUAUACUUGAACACUGUAACAGCGUUUCACAGCUGACAGAGCGUGCUGACAUUACAAACAAUUUGGAAAGCAUUUCCAACGAUUUUGGUUUAAACGGUGCUGUUACAGAUCCAUGUUUUUUGGACAACACACAGGAGUGCAGUGUAUCCUUACUCGCAUGCCACACAGACAGAGCACAGCAAAGUGCUCUCUGCGUGAGAGAAGAAUCGAGGCUUAUGGAGUCAUCCGUGGCCAUGGGUGAGGCGUCUGAUUCACACGACAGCCACUCUCCAUCUCUUCUGACAGGAGGGAGCAGAGCACCAGAGAGAAACGCAGAAGUGCGUGCUGCAGGGGCGUGGCGUCGCGAAGAACAGUCAACACACUGGAAUGCUAGCUCUGAGGCACACAGCGAACCAUCAGAUAUUACACCUAGCCUUCAGAUAUCACACACUGGCCUGCCACACCUGGAUGAAACCCACAAUGGGGAAACUAGGCAAAACUCCCUCAACGUGUCAAAGGCCGGUUGGUCUGGUGGGUCUGAAACACAAAGAGACGUACCCAGUGUUUUGAAUAGCCCGAGCGAUGUUUGCAUUUCUUCUUCAGGGCCAAUGAAGUGUGACAUGCAAAUGAGCCAGUUGGGUGGGUCCAGGGCAAAACGAGUUUUUGGAGGGACAGAAAAGAGUGAUAGAGAUCUAAGCCUCUGCUCCCAUCCUAACAGCAGGGAAGCCCCAGGUGCACAAACGAACAGCAGUCUCUCGAUGGACUCAUCAUACAAGGCAACCAUGCUUAGUGGCUUUGAACUCAUUGUGAACUCCAACGAGGGACUAGCCACUGAACACACGCCUGUCAGGAGUUUGUGUGAGGUUGUGCAGGUUGAAAGACCAAGUGGUCACCUACCCUCAGAUACCUGCAUGACUGAAACUCCAGGGGAUUCAGCUUUCACUGAGACAAACUGUGUCACAAUCACCGAUCGAGUCCAAACAGAAGCCAAAGUACAAGAACUCGACAGUUCCAGUGACUCUGACUGCACCAUGAUAUCUGAGCCUGAGUGCACGCAGGCGGACGACUCGAAGCGUGACAUAACUGAGAAUGAGACGCCAAACCUCGACCUCUGCCCAGGGGUGUGUAGUCCCAGUGAGAUGAGAAAUGGGAAUUAUAAUGUGCCUCCUAAUGGCAGUGAAUCACAGACCUUUAAUGGAAACGUCACCGGGAGCAGCCUCGCCGCUAACGCCUCGGCCAGCCGUCAGGGUUUGCACAAGCAGAAGGCCAAGAUACCGAAACAAAAGAGG